rnacentral:lncRNA from 1 species
AGGGUUUUAGUCUUGUGUGGUCGUGUGACUUGUAAGCCAUUCAAUUCAUUCAUAGAUGAUUGAAUUGGUCUGAUUUUUGAGUUGUAAUUUGUCACUCUAAGCUUUUAAGCAUGAGUGUGUGUCUACUUGAUUCAAGCUGCUAAGUAAGAUCAAGUGUGUGUCUUUGAAGAGUGUCUUCUUUUCAUAGUAAUUCUUGUUUAAUAUCACUGGUGUGAUUGAGGGGGAGUGAGUGGGAUCUCAUAUC